rnacentral:rRNA from 1 species
GAUGAACGCUGGCGGCGUGCCUAAUACAUGCAAGUCGAGCGAACGGACGAGAAGCUUGCUUCUCUGAUGUUAGCGGCGGACGGGUGAGUAACACGUGGAUAACCUACCUAUAAGACUGGGAUAACUUCGGGAAACCGGAGCUAAUACCGGAUAAUAUUUUGAACCGCAUGGUUCAAAAGUGAAAGACGGUCUUGCUGUCACUUAUAGCUGGAUCCGCGCUGCAUUAGCUAGUUGGUAAGGUAACGGCUUACCAAGGCAACGAUGCAUAGCCGACCUGAGAGGGUGAUCGGCAACACUGGAACUGAGACACGGUCCAGACUCCUACGGGAGGCAGCAGUAGGGAAUCUUCCGCAAUGGGCGAAAGCCUGACGGAGCAACGCCGCGUGAGUGAUGAAGGUCUUCGGAUCGUAAAACUCUGUUAUUAGGGAAGAACAUAUGUGUAAGUAACUGUGCACAUCUUGACGGUACCUAAUCAGAAAGCCACGGCUAACUACGUG